GCCUUCGUGGUGUAAUCGGAAGCAUACUGGACGUGUAUUCCAGAGUUCCAGGGUUCAAGUCCCGGUGAUGGCA
rnacentral:tRNA from 1 species